GACAGAGGAUGCAAGCGUUAUCCGGAAUGAUUGGGCGUAAAGCGUCUGUAGGUGGCUUUUCAAGUCCGCCGUCAAAUCCCAGGGCUCAACCCUGGACAGGCGGUGGAAACUACCAAGCUGGAGUACGGUAGGGGCAGAGGGAAUUUCCGGUGUAGUGGUGAAAUGCGUAGAGAUCGGGAGGAACACCUGUGGCGAAGGCGGCCCCCUGGGCCGGCC
rnacentral:rRNA from 1 species